GGGGGGGGGGGGGGGCGGGCCGGGGAGGUGCGGGUCGAGCGGGGGGGCGCGGAGGUUGCGCCGGUGACGUUGGCGGCGGACGGGUGCGUAACCCGUGGAUCACCUACCUAUGAGCCUGGGAUCACUUCGGGAAACCGGACCUGAUCACGGGUAAUAUAUUGACCCGCCUGGGUGCAUGAUGAGAGGCGGUUUUGCUGUCACUGUUCGAUGCAUCCGCGCCGCAUUAGCUAGUGGGUAAGGUAACGGCUUACCAAGGCAACGCUGCGUAGCCGACCUGAGAGGGGGAGCGGCCACACUGGAAAGGAGAGACGGUCCAGACGCCUACGGGAGGCAGCAGUAGGGAAUCUUCCGCAAUGGGAGAAAGACUGACGGAGAAACGCCGCGUGAGUGAUGAAGGUCUUCGGAUCGUAAAACUCUGUUAUUAGGGAAGAACAAAUGUGUAAGUAACUAUGCACGUCUUGACGGUACCUAAUCAGAAAGCCACGGCUAACUACGUG
rnacentral:rRNA from 1 species